UAACUAGGAUUAGAUACCCUAUUAUUGAAAAUGUAAAUAUAAAUGCCUGAGUAGUAGUAGUUAUGUUCUUGAAAUUCAAAGAAUUUGGCGGUAUUUUAGUCUAUUUAGAGGAACCUGUCCUAUAAUUGAUAAUCCACGAUUAAUUAAACUUAUUUUAAAGGUUUAUAUAUCGUCGUAGAUUGAAUGUUUUAAAAGAGUAAGGAAUAUUCAAGAUUCAUUUUAAAUGAAAAAAAUCAGAUCAAGAUAUAGCGUAUAGAUAAGAAGAGAUGGGUUACAAUAAAUUUAUUUAUAUGGUUAAAAUAUUUAACAGUAUUUUAUAAAGUGGAUUUAAUAGUAAUAUAAUUAAGUUAAAUUAUAUGAUUUUAGCUCUGAAAUAUGUACAUAUCGCCCCUUGGUUCCCCA
rnacentral:rRNA from 1 species